rnacentral:rRNA from 1 species
GGCGUGGCUAAGGCAUGCAAGUCGAACGGACAUAUCCUAAGGGUAACUGAGGGGUAUGUUAGUGGCGAACGGGUGAGGAAUACAUGGACAGCGUACCCUGGACUCGGGGAUAGCGGCGGGGGCAACCCCUUUGCGAAAGUGCCGGUAAUACCCGAUGAUUCCACAGGACCGCAUGGUUUUGUGGGCAAAGCUCCGACGGUCUGGGAUCGGUUCAUGUCCUAUCAGCUAGUUGGUGAGGUAACGGCUCACCAAGGCGACGACGGGUACCGGGCGUGGGAGCGUGACCCGGCACAUCGGAACUGAGAUACGGUCCGGACACCUACGGGUGGCUGCAGCAACGAAUAUUCCGCAAUGGACGCAAGUCUGACGGAGCGACGCCGCGUGCAGGAUGAAGUCCCUCGGGAUGUAAACUGCUGUCAGGGGUGAGGAAAUCAUUGACCAACCCCAGAGGAAGCAUCGGCUAACUCCGUGCCAGCAGCCGCGGUAAUACGGAGGAUGCAAGCGUUGUUCGGAAUCACUGGGCUUAAAGAGCGUGUAGGUGGAAUAUCAGGCGUCGGGUGAAAUCCCUCGGCUCAACCGAGGAACUGCCUGGCGAACCGGUAUUCUUGAGG